AUUCCGGAGAGGGAGCCUGAGAAACGGCUACCACAUCUAAGGAAGGCAGCAGGCGCGUAAAUUACCCACUCCCAGUUCGGGGAGGUAGUGACGAAAAAUAACAAUACAGGACUCAUAUCCGAGGCCCUGUAAUUGGAAUGAGUACACUUUAAAUCCGUUAACAAGGACCUAUUGGAGGGCAAGUCUGGUGCCAGCAGCUGCGGUAAUUCCAGCUCCAAUAGCAUAUAUUAAAGUUGUUGCGGUUAAAACGUUCGUAGUUGAAUUUGUGCUUCAUACGGGUAGUACAACUACAAUUGUGGAUUGUACAUUACCUUAUGUAUGUAAGCGUAUUACCGGUGGAGUUCUAAUAUAUUAAUAAUAUGUCAUGUAUUGUUAUAUAUACCUCCUAUUUAAACCUGCUUCGGUGCUCUUUACCGAGUGCUGUUGUGGGCCGGUACUAUUACUUUGAACAAAUUAGAGUGCUUAAAGCAGGCUCCAAAUGCCUGAAUAUUUUGUGCAUGGAAUAAUGAAAUAAGACUUCUGAUCUACUUUCAUUGGUUUUUAGAUCAAGAGGUAAUGAUAAAUAGAAGCAGUUUGGGGGCAUUAGUAUUACGACGCGAGAGGUGAAAUUCUUGGACCGUCGUAAGACUAACUUAAGCGAAAGCAUUUGCCAAAGAUGUUUUCAUUAAUCAAGAACGAAAGUUAGAGGUUCGAAGGCGA
rnacentral:rRNA from 1 species